rnacentral:rRNA from 1 species
AUUGAACGCUGGCGGCAGGCUUAACACAUGCAAGUCGAGCGGAGAUGAGGUGCUUGCACCUUAUCUUAGCGGAGGACGGGUGAGUAAUGCUUAGGAAUCUGCCUAUUAGUGGGGGACAACAUUCCGAAAGGAAUGCUAAUACCGCAUACGUCCUACGGGAGAAAGCAGAGGAUCUUCGGACCUUGCGCUAGUAGAUGAGCCUAAGUCGGAUUAGCUAGUUGGCGGGGUAAAGGCCUACUAAGGCGACGAUCUGUAGCGGGUCUGAGAGGAUGAUCCGCCACACUGGGACUGAGGCACGGCCCAGACUCCUACGGGAGGCAGCAGUGGGGAAUAUUGGGCAAUGGGGGAAACCCUGAUCCAGCCAUGCCGCGUGUGUGAAGAAGGCCUUAUGGUUGUAAAGCACUUUAAGCGAGGAGGAGGCUACUGAGACUAAUACUCUUGGAUAGUGGACGUUACUCGCAGAAUAAGCACCGGCUAACUCUGUGCCAGCCGCCGCGGUAAAAC